rnacentral:rRNA from 1 species
CCUACGGGCGGCAGCAGUCGAGAAUCAUUCACAAUGGGGGAAACCCUGAUGGUGCGACGCCGCGUGGGGGAAUGAAGGUCUUCGGAUUGUAAACCCCUGUCAUGUGGGAGCAAAUUAAAAAGAUAGUACCACAAGAGGAAGAGACGGGUAACUCUGAGCCAGCAGCCGCGGUAAUACAGAGGUCUCAAGCGUUGUGCGGAAUCACUGGGCGGAAAGCGUGCGUAGGCUGUUGCGUAAGUCGGGUGUGAAAGGCGCGGGCUCAACCCGCGGACGGCACAUGAUACUGCGAGACUAGAGUAAUGGAGGGGGAACCGGAAUUCGCGGUGUAGCAGUGAAAUGCGUAGAUAUCGAGAGGAACACUCGUGGCGAAGGCGGGUUCCUGGACAUUAACUGACGCUGAGGCACGAAGGCCAGGGGAGCGAAAGGGAUUAGAUACCCUGGUAGUC